rnacentral:rRNA from 1 species
AUACGGAAGGUCCGGGCGUUAUCCGGAUUUAUUGGGUUUAAAGGGAGCGCAGGCGGAGAUGCAAGCGUGACGUCAAAUUUCGGGGCUCAACCCCGUCUCGCGUCGCGAACUGCGUCCCUUGGUUGCGGGAAGGGGAGGCGGAACUCGUGGUGUAGCGGUGAAAUGCAUAGAUAUCACGAAGAACUCCGAUCGCGAAGGCAGCCUUCCGGCCCGUCAACGACGCUCAUGCUCGAAGGUGCGGGUAUCAAACAGGAUUAGAUACCUGGUAGUCCGCACAGUAAACGAUGGACACCCGCGGUUUGGCCUGUAUGGCUGAGCCGCCAAGCGAAAGCGUUAAGUGUCCCACCUGGGGAGUACGCCGGCAACGGUGAAACUCAAAUGAAUUGACGGGG